GCGGAUGUGGCGAAAUUGGCAGACGCACUAGACUUAGGAUCUAGCGCCGCGAGGCAUGUGGGUUCGACCCCCUCCAUCCGCACCA
rnacentral:tRNA from 1 species